rnacentral:rRNA from 1 species
AUUGAACGCUAGCGGGAUGCUUUACACAUGCAAGUCGAACGAGUGGCGGACGGGUGGGCGAUAGAUCGAAACGUGCGCAAUAGCGGGGGAUAACUACGCGAAAGCGUGGAUAAUACCGCAUACUAUUGUAUCGGCCGUUGGCGGAUUAGCUAGUUGGGGGGGUAAAGGCUCACCAAGGCAACGAUCCGUAGCGGGUUUGAGAGGACGACCAGCCACACUGGGACUGAGACACGGCCCAGACUCCUACGGGAGGCAGCAGUGGGGAAUUUUGGACAAUGGGCGAAACCCUGAUCCAGCCAUCCCGCGUGUAUGAGAAGGCCUUCGGGUUGUAAAGUACUGUUGGCAGAGAAGCGGUAUCUGCAGAAUAAGCACCGGCUAACUACGUGCCAGCAGCCGCGGUAAUUC